rnacentral:rRNA from 1 species
GAUGAACGCUGGCGGCGUGCCUAAUACAUGCAAGUCGAGCGAACAGACGAGGAGCUUGCUCCUCUGACGUUAGCGGCGGACGGGUGAGUAGCACGUGGAUAACCUACCUAUAAGACUGGGAUAACUUCGGGAAACCGGAGCUAAUACCGGAUAAUAUAUUGAACCGCAUGGUUCAAUAGUGAAAGACGGUUUUGCUGUCACUUAUAGAUGGAUCCGCGCCGCAUUAGCUAGUUGGUAAGGUAACGGCUUACCAGGGCGACGAUGCGUAGCCGACCUGAGAGGGUGAUCGGCCACACUGGAACUGAGACACGGUCCAGACUCCUACGGGAGGCAGCAGUAGGGAAUCUUCCGCAAUGGGCGAAAGCCUGACGGAGCAACGCCGCGUGAGUGAUGAAGGUCUUCGGAUCGUAAAACUCUGUUAUUAGGGAAGAACAAAUGUGUAAGUAACUAUGCACGUCUUGACGGUACCUAAUCAGAAAGCCACGGCUAACUACGUG